CACGAACGCUGGCGGCAGGCUUAACACAUGCAAGUCGAGCGCCCCGCAAGGGGAGCGGCAGACGGGUGAGUAACGCGUGGGAAUCUACCCAUCUCUACGGAAUAACGCAUGGAAACGUGUGCUAAUACCGUAUACGUCCUUCGGGAGAAAGAUUUAUCGGAGAUGGAUGAGCCCGCGUUGGAUUAGCUAGUUGGUGGGGUAAAGGCCUACCAAGGCGACGAUCCAUAGCUGGUCUGAGAGGAUGAUCAGCCACACUGGGACUGAGACACGGCCCAGACUCCUACGGGAGGCAGCAGUGGGGAAUAUUGGUCAAUGGGCGCAAGCCUGAUCCAGCCAUGCCGCGUGAGUGAUGAAGGCCCUAGGGUUGUAAAGCUCUUUCACCGGUGAAGAUAAUGACGGUAACCGGAGAAGAAGCCCCGGCUAACUUCGUGCCAGCCGCCGCUGUAAGAC
rnacentral:rRNA from 1 species